rnacentral:tRNA from 1 species
AGCUCUGUAGCAGAAUUUGGCAUAUGCGCCGGACUAAGGAUCCGGGCUUUUGCGGGUUCGAGUCCCGCCAGAGCUACCA